CUUUGUUCUGUCCCCGGUGUGUGGGUCUGUGACAGGGUCCAACAGGGCCUGGUCCGUGUCUGGUCCCCCAAAUCUGUCGUCCCUGCCCCCAGGCAUUGGCAUCAACAAAAGUCAGAAUUCCCGGGAACUUGAACAGAGGCUGCUAAAUUCCCAGUAAUUGCUCCUUUGGCCUUCUAGGGACUGACUUCAAAGAAGGAAGGAAAGAAUCAGGCAGGUAAAGCUUUCCGUGUCUUGUUCUUACUGCCAGGCCAUCUAUCUCGGUCCCCACGGGCAGCACCAGGGAGUGAGGCUGGCAACAGAGCAGGGGAAGGGCCCUGUCUGGACCUG
rnacentral:lncRNA from 1 species